rnacentral:rRNA from 1 species
UACGUAGGGCGCAAGCGUUGUCCGGAAUUAUUGGGCGUAAAGAGCUCGUAGGCGGUCUGUCGCGUCUGCUGUGAAAACUCAGGGCUUAACCCUGAGCUUGCAGUGGGUACGGGCAGACUAGAGUGCGGUAGGGGAGACUGGAAUUCCUGGUGUAGCGGUGAAAUGCGCAGAUAUCAGGAGGAACACCGGUGGCGAAGGCGGGUCUCUGGGCCGGUAACUGACGC